GAUGAACGCUGGCGGCGUGCUUAACACAUGCAAGUCGAACGGAAAGGCCCAAGCUUGCUUGGGUGCUCGAGUGGCGAACGGGUGAGUAACACGUGGGUGAUCUGCCCUGCACUUUGGGAUAAGCCUGGGAAACUGGGUCUAAUACCGGAUAGGACCAUCGUUUAGUGUCGGUGGUGGAAAGUUUUUCGGUGUGGGAUGAGCUCGCGGCCUAUCAGCUUGUUGGUGGGGUAAUGGCCUACCAAGGCGUCGACGGGUAGCCGGCCUGAGAGGGUGUACGGUCACAUUGGGACUGAGAUACGGCCCAGACUCCUACGGGAGGCAGCGGUGGGGAAUAUUGCACAAUGGGCGCAAGCCUGAUGCAGCGACGCCGCGUGGGGGAUGACGGCCUUCGGGUUGUAAACUCCUUUCGCCAAGGACGAAGCGUUUUGUGACGGUACUUGGAGAAGAAGCACCGGCUAACUACGUG
rnacentral:rRNA from 1 species